UACGAAGGGGGCUAGCGUUGUUCGGAAUCACUGGGCGUAAAGCGCGUGUAGGCGGCUUUGCAAGUCGGGUGUGAAAGCCCUCGGCUUAACCGAGGAAGUGCGCCCGAAACUGCAGAGCUUGAGUACCGGAGAGGAUGGCGGAAUUCCCCCAAGUAGAGGUGAAAUUCGUAGAUAUGGGGGAGGAACACCGGUGGCGAAGGCGGCCAUCUGGACGGAUACUGACGCUGAGACGCGAAAGCGUGGGGAGCAAACAGG
rnacentral:rRNA from 1 species